rnacentral:lncRNA from 1 species
UUUGGGAAUCACAGGCUCCUGGACCACCCACAACACCUGAGAGACACAGAAAUGGCUCCAUGACGACUCCUGCAACCGUGGGGGGGAAACCCCUCACACGGUCGGCGCACGAGGCCGAAGGAGGCCGGGGAGGGGUUAGGAUGGAAGGAUGGAAGGAUGGAAGGAUGGAAGGAUGGAGGGGGAGGAGGCAGAAAGGUGGUGAUGACAGAAAAAAGAGCAGAAGCUGAUGGAGGCUGAGGAAGAUGAGAGGAAACGGAGCACGACGACAACCAAGGCCGUGCAAACUGCAGGAAGAAUCAGCGUCUUGUCGUGACGAGCACGCGGGACCGAUGAGGAGGCCGCCGGGGUAACGUGCUCGACUCCAGAAGGUCUCAGGAGACGGCAGACGAGCAGCAGAACCACAGACGGAGGAGACGGUCCUGGAUGAAGACUUGGCCCAGGAUCAAAGGCAGCCCCCGACCGCCACUCUGGCCACCACAAAAGGGCGUCGGGCGGUGGCGUGGGGCCAGCUGCUGCACAUGCUCACACGGACGGGGACGAGGCUUCCAGAGGGGCCCUGGGACAGACGCCUCGUGCCCCCCCCUCAUAAGAGGUCAGUAAUAGUAGAUGAGGAUCUGGCCUUUUGUUUCCAUCUGGUUCUUUUCACAGCUGAUUGUUUAUUUUCAGGUUUUUUUUAAAAUCCUCCCUUCUGGGAAUUCUUCAUCCCACAUCUCCACCUGCUGAUGUUCUGCUUCCACCAGUCAGGCAGCCGGAACCACCCCAGGACCCAAACACGACAGCAAGACCCUGGUCUGGGGCAGGAACCACAGAGUCGGUCCGGAUGGUCCAGAUGGUCCGGAUGGUCCGGAUGGUCCGGAUGGUCCGGAUGGUCCGGAUGGUCCCCUCUGCGGACAUAAACCGUCCACACAGGACGAAGGUUUGGACACAGAAAAGUCUUAAAACAGACAAAAGAGGGUUUAAAUCGGACCCUUUAGCAGCAGCCGAUCCUCCUCCUCCUCCUCCUCCUCCUCCUCCUCCUCCUCCUCCUCCUCCUUCUGGUGCUGGAGCCCAGCAUGUGUUUGGGAUUAGAUGUCCUCUGGUGUCGAAGGAGAACAGUCAACAAACGUUCUGCUGCGGCCGUAAAUCAGCCGUCCACGCCCUCGCCGUGGCCGUGAUUCUCUGCAAGAUGGCCGUCGUGUGCAGCAGAAUCAGAAAGUGA